rnacentral:rRNA from 1 species
GAUGUGAAGCGAAACCCAAAAAGCAGUCACAGUUCGGAUUGAAGGCUGAAAUUCGCCUUCAUGAAGCCGGAAUUGCUAGUAAUGGCAGGUCAGCAUACUGCCGUGAAUACGUUCCCGGGCCUUGUACACACCGCCCGUCACACCAUGAGAGUUGGGGAUACCCGAAGCCUGUGAGCCUAACUUUUUAAGAGGCAGCAGUCGAAGGUAGAGUCAAUGAUUGGGGUGAAGUCGUAACAAGGUAUC